UUUAGGUUAUUUCUGGGACAUGUUUCAUGGUAUUAGGAGUAAGGCUUGGAGGCCUACCACAGCUAAGAUAUAAGUUAGCUUUCAGUUUGUUCAUAAGGAUUGAGACUGGAAAUGACAAUUGAAGCAGACUUUUAAGGCUGAUGUAAUGACAAUGAUUUCAUGGUGUUGGGAGUAAAAAUUGGAGAUCUGAUACUGCUAACAUGUUGGUUAGCAUCACAGCUUGUCCAUAGGGAUACUGACUAGGGUAGCAUUUGGA